GACAGAGGCCUCAAGCGUUAGGCGGAAUCACUGGGCUUAAAGCGUGUGUAGGCGGGUCGUUAAGUACCUUGUGAAAUCCCACGGCUCACCCGGUGGAACUGCUGGGUAUAGCUGGCGAUCUUGGGCCAUUCAGGGGCAACUGGAACAAGCGGUGGAGCGGUGAAAUGCGUAGAUAUCGCUUGGAACGCCAAAGGUAGAAA
rnacentral:rRNA from 1 species